AUUCUGGCCCGUCUGCCUGCUCUGUCUUCAUGUAAUCGGCUAAUCUGCUUCACCUGUCUGCUGCUGCACUGGAGUGCAAUCAAUCAUGCCAUGCACCUGUUUUUCUGCAGUUAUAUUCAGCCCUCAGACAGGCAGACAGUGCCAGAUUUUAGAUUUUCAAAAACCUACCAGUUAGUAGAUGUCCAGCAUUCCUUCCUGCCUGACCACGUUUUUGACCACUUUUUGCAUCUUGGAUUUCCCUGCCUUGCCUGACCCUCAUUGGAUGUCUCUCGCCUCUGGAUCACAACCUUGUUUCUGCCUCUCGACCAAAGCCUCCUGCCUAACCCCUGGAUUUGUCUGCCUGAGUCUGCCUCCCUGGUUUUACCCAGUUACUACCCCCCCCCCCCUGACUACUGAGCCUUGGAUCUUUCCCCUUGUCGGCAAUCCGACUUCUGGCUGUGGCGUGUUCUGCACCGAUCCUGGAUUCUGGAGACUGCCAGGACCGCACCCCGCAAAGGAGCCUAUUCUGAUUCCUCCGUCCUACACGGACUCUGUUAAGUGAUCCCAGGUUCCCGGCUGGUGGAAUCCUGAGUAUCUGUGCGCUGCUCCUGAAUAAAUCGUUUAACUUUUAUUCUGUUUCUGGCUGAAAUUCUGGGUCCUCUGUCCUGAACCUCACAGAUGGUGGAGAAACCACAGGUGCACCACCCAUGUGAGAAAUUAAAACACACACACAGUCGAACACGCUCUGGCAGUGAUACACACAGGACAAAAUGGCAGCGGCUACAAAAACAAUACUUUUAUUGGACAUUGUCUCUGCUGACACAAGGUGGGUAUGUAACAUCCACUGCCUCAGUAGUUAACCUUUGUGACCUAUGUGAGUCAACGCCAAGGAUGUGAAAAGUAGAAGCCCACGGACUGAUUUAUGUGAUACAAUUACGUUGUUAGAUUGUGGAAGUUUGGAAACAGCACAUGGUCCAAACUGGUUUCCUGCAGCUAGUAGUGUCACUCUCUGGAGGAUGAAGACAACCAUCUUAAUGUGGCUUUUAACUUGCAAAGGGAGGAAG